CUUUGGUAAACUAAAACUUUAGAACUAUAUUUCGGCUAUAGCUUUUGGACUAAGUCCUACCAAAUU
rnacentral:tRNA from 1 species